UACAUUUCUAUGAGCUACAACACAAAAAACCUAAAAGGUCCUUUUCAAGUUAUGUCCAUGGGAAGACUUGCAGAAGUGUUUAUCGCCCUUACUGUCCUCUUUCUUUAUACCGGCCUCCUAACUGAAGGAGCAAUGGGCACCAACGUCAUCGAACACGUCCCCAUAGAAUCACUGGAGCUCAUGGGUUUGUCACAGGAAGUUGACCAAAAGAUAUGUAGACCAUGUCAUUGUUGCCAUGACGGUACCUGCAACCAAACAAAGUGUUGCUAUAUGACGAAGUGUAACCAGCCCGGGAAUCCACCCUUCACUUGUACACUGACUAAGCUCUCAUGCGGCAGUUGUGAUCCAGACUGCGCGUGAUUAUUUGCAUGUACCCGAUGGAUUGAUGGUGGAUUAAUAAAAUAUAGUCAUAUUUCCUUAAUAAAAUCUUUUGGUAUUUCUUUU